AUGAAGGUCGAAGAAGCAUUGGAAGAUCCGGAUUGGAUAAAUGCUAUGCAUGAAGAGCUACACAACUUUGAGAGGAACCAAGUUUGGACAUUGGUUGAGAAGCCCGACAACAACCACAACAUCAUCGAUACCAAAUGGGUGUUUCGCAACAAGCAAGAUGAAGAUGGACAAGUAGUUCGCAACAAAGCACGUCUCGUCGCCCAAGGCUACACACAAGUCGAAGGUAUGGACUAUGGUGAGACUUACGCCCCCAUUGCUAGACUUGAGUCCAUUCGCAUCUUACUUGCCUAUGCUAAUCACCAUGAUAUCACCUUGUACCAAAUGGACAUUAAAAGUGCUUUUCUAAAUGGUGAAAUAGAGGAGGAAGUUUAUGUUAAACAACCUCCCGAUUUUGUCAAUCCUAAGAAACCCAAUCAUGUUUACAAACUUCACAAAGCUCUUUAUGGUCUUAAACAAGCUCCUAGAGCAUGGUAUAAAUGCUUGACCAAGUUCCUUAUUGAAAAAGGCUUUGAAAUUGGGAAAAUUGAUUCUACUCUUUUUACUAAAAGGGUUAAUGGAGAACUAUUUGUGUGCCAAAUUUAUGUUGAUGAUAUUAUAUUUGGUUCAACUAACCCUCAUUUUAGUGAAAAGUUUGGGAAGCUAAUGUCGGAGAAGUUUGAGAUGUCUAUGAUGAGUGAACUCAAAUUCUUUCUUGGGUUGCAAAUCAAGCAAACUAAGGAAGGUACUUUUGUCUCUCAAACGAAGUACACCAAGGACUUAUUCAAGAAGUUCAAUAUAUAA
rnacentral:rRNA from 1 species